rnacentral:lncRNA from 10 species
GGGGCCUGCAGGGGGCCUGUGACACCUAGGGGAGGGGAAUGGAUAAGGAGGGUAGGAGGGCCAACAGGAGGCACUGAGAUACCAGGGGGAGGGGUGGAAUGAGGAGGGGAGAGCCCUGCAGGGGGGCGGGGAGACCUGAGGUGAGGGUAAUGGAUAAGGAGGGGAGGAGGGUCUGCAGGGGUUCUUGGGAGACCUGGGGGAUGAAUAGGAGAGGACAAGGGGAGGAGGGUCUGCAGGGGGCCCUGGGAGCCCUGCGGGGGGCGAGGGGUGGGGGAAUGGAUAAGGAGGGGAGGAGGGCCUGCAAGGGGUGCUGGGAGACUUGGGGGAGGGGAAUGGAUAAGGAGGGGAGGAGGGCCUGCAAGGGGUGCUGGGAGACCUGGGGGAGGGGAAUGGAUAAGGAGAGGAGGAGGGCCCGCAGGAGGCACUGAGAGACUGGGGGGAGGGGUGGAAUGAGGAGGGGAGGAGAGCCCUGCAGGGGGCACUGAGAUACUGGGGGGAGGGGUGGAAUGAGGAGGGGAGGAGAGCCCUGUAGGGGGCGCUGGGAGACCUUGGGGGGAAUGGAUAAGGAGGGGAAGAGGGCCCUCAGGGGGCGCUGGGAGACCUGGGGGGGAAAUGGAUAAGGAGGGGAGGAUGGCCGCAAGGGGCACUGGGAGACGCUGGCGGGGAAUGGAUAAGGAGUGGAGGGGGGCCUGCAAGGGGCGCUGGGAGACCUGGAGGGGAAAGGAUAAGGAGGGAGGAGGGCCUGGAGAGGGCGCUGGGAGACUUGGGCGGGGGUGGAGGGAAUGGAUAAGGAGGGGAGAAGGGCCUGCAGGGGGCACUGAGACCUGGUGGGGAAUGGAUAAGGAGGGAGGAGGGCCUGCAGGGGGCGCUGGGGAACCUGGGGGGCUUGGAUAAGAAGGGGAGGAGGGCCUGCAGGGGGCGCUGGGAGACCUAGGCGGGGCAGGGGUGGGGAAUGGGUAAGGAGGGAAGAAGGGCCUUGCAGGGGGCGCUGGGAGACCUGGGGUCGGGGGGAGGAUAAGGAGGGGCAAUGGGAGAGGAUGGGGAAUGGGGUGCUUAGAGACUUGGGUGGGAAAUGGACGCAGCAGGGACUGGGCGGGGAGAGACCUUACAAGGGUUCCAGGAGAUGGGUUGGGGUGGGCUGGACAGGGCAGAGUGGAGGGUGAGGAGGGCCCUCUGUGAGCCACAGAGACCUGAGCAGGAGCUAGGUGGGGGCUGGGAAUGUGCAGGAAAGGAGACGUGGAAGGAGGGGGAGAUAGGGCGGCAGGGGUGAUGGAGAUUGACAGGGACCCCAGACAUGGGGGUAGGGAAAUGGGGAUGGAAAUAAAUGGAAAAAAAGAGGCUUCGUGGUGGGAAAGAGGAGGAACUCCGAGGGCUCCGGGGCACUGAGGUGUGCAGAGUUGCCGGGUCCUGAGUACCCUCGAGGGAGCAGAGGGAGCUCGAGGAACGAGGAAGAGAGGGGACGACGAGGGCAAAGAAGGGAGAACGUAGGCGGGUGUGGAGGAGGAUGAGCGUCCGAGGGAGAAGACGGAGGAGUUGAGCAGAGAAAGGGCAGGAAUGUGGGGGCUGGAAAGGGUGAGGAGGCAGCCGAUGGAGCAGGGGUGCAUCGGAGUUCAUGGGUACUUCCCAGGAGCUCAUUUAAGGCAGGUGGGAGGGCGGGGGACGUGGAGGGGCGGCCACACUGUGAACGGACUGAAGCCCACUUAACUGUUCACUCUAAAGUGGUUCAGUUCGUUACGUGUGUUUUCACUUCAAUCAAUUGCUUUUAAUGGAAAUUAAUCAUAUUGAUGGUCUCCAGAAGAAGUUGGGUUGAUACCUGCAACCAGAUUUUAAAAAUGCAAAUUUGGAGCCAAUGAGUGAAUGAAAUAAUUUGUACCUCACUGAUUCUUUUAAGGCAUAGCUUACAACGUUCCAGAAACUGUUCUAUUUGUUUUCACUUUUGUUUCAAAAUCUUAAUGGCAUUUUGUUUGCUGAUUGUGAAUAAAUAUUUGUAUGCUGCGAAAAGCAAAUCCAAAACCAACAGCUCAAAGGAGAAAGUGUGGCAAACAGGAGAUUGGAGAUUGGACCCCAAAACUCCUGGAGUGACGAAAAUUGACCUGGAUGAAGAAAUGGCUUUCUCUUGGCCUUCUUUUGUUUAAACAUAUCUUCCAGUCCUGGGGAUGGAUUUCCCUCCCAUCCAUAGCCAGAGAACUUUCUGUAUCCAUCAAAGUGCUUUCUAUGUUUGCCCGCUCUCCACAGCUCCCUCUUUGUCAUUCGCGAAUAGUAUAUAAUCAAAUAUUGUUUUCAUUUUCAAUAAUAUAAAAGAUAGAACUAAAUUCAGCUUUGAAAGACACCCAUGUACCAGUGGGUACUGGUACACUUGCCAGUGACUUUCUUCGCUCCCUAGUUUCUGCGUGGUGUCUGGGGUUUCCGUCACAGUAUAUGUACUAUACAAAGAAAAUAAAUAUUUGAAGGUCACUGGGAAAGUAGUAUGCUAUAAUGACUUACUUUAAAUCAUUUAAAUGAGUUUUUCUGCUUGAGUAAUCAGCACCUAUUUAGUGCCUCCUUGAGUAAUUUUGCGUGAUGGCUGUGACAUGCUGCUAGGAAGUUUUUCAGAGUUUGUAUUAUAGAAUCAUGUUUAGAAAAUUUCAAAUACCAAUUUAAAAGGCAUGUUUUAAAAGGAGAUAUAAAGCCAGUGGGAGGAGGGAUAGAGAAAGGGGAAACUGAGUUAAAUUUGAAGGGGACAAAGGGGCUUAAAAAGAGAAAUAGAUGGAAAGGGAGGGAUGAGGAGGAGGAGAGAGGGCCAAGCAGGCAGGGGAGGCAGGCCUGCAGUUGCUAAACUUUGCUCCUUCCCCGCGUUCUUGGAUAAUAUUUGUGGGGAGGCACUCCAAGCCAGACCUGCUGGAUUUCCUGCUCGUAGGCCUGUGCAGCCCAGGAAACUGUUCAGAAAAGUAGGAGGUAGGAUCCUAUUUGUACCCUGAGUGUGUGGAGCAGUUUCUACCAGAUGCCCAGGUGUGGUGACGGGCCAGCCAUGGGUUCCCCCAGUGCCUGCUGUGGAGCUUGGUCACUUGCAUCCUCCGGGUGGUAUUGCUUCGUGGUGGGUCCACACUAUGAGCUUAUCAGGCAAUGUGCUCAAAGGAAAGGAAGGCCUUGCGAAGUAUGUGGCACAGGUAGGGGCUAUACGCAUAUUACUGUGUCCCCCCAAAUUCAUAUGUUGAAGUCCCAACCCCCAGUACCUGGGGGUACAAAAUGUCACGAUAUUUAGAGGUAGGACCUUUAAAGAGGUAAUUCAGUUUGAACAAAGGCCACGGGGGGCAGUAGGGGUGGGGGAGAACUAAGCCACCUGACUGUGUUAGGGCCUCCAAAGAAGUGAUUAUUAAAAUGAUGGCGAGAGGAUGGGGUCCCAAGCCUACCUGGCUGAGGUCCUUAUAAGAAGAGAAGACACCAGAGAAGGACACACACAGAGGAAAGGCUGCGUGAGAGCAGCAAGAAGAUGGUUUUGUGUGAGCCAAGAAGGGGGCCUCGGGAGAACCAAACUUGCCAACACCUUGCUCUUGUACUUCCAGCCUCCAGAACUAUGAGAAAUAAAUGUCUGUUUUCUUAGCCACUCAGUCUGUGGUGUUUUGUUACGGCAGCUCUAGCACACCAGUGCAGGUACACACCAGGAGAGGCUCACACCAGUGCAAGCUCACACCAUUGCAGGCUCAUAUCAGUGCAGGCACACACCAGGACAGGCUCAAACCAAUGCAGGCACACACCAAUGCAGGCUCACACCAAUGCAGGCUUACACCAGUGCAGGCACACACCAGUGCAGGCUCACACCAAUGCAGGCUCACACCAUGCAAAUGGGACCGAGUGUGGGAGGCUGUGCUACUGCAUGGUUGCUGAAAGCAAAUGUUGGAAAACAUAUUCCACUUAGCCCUUUGGGCUAAGAAUUAUCCCCAGCACAUGUGCUUGACUGGGUGGGCAUGGGGACAGAUGAGCUCUAGAGCAUUAUUUGGAACUGGCAUAGAUUCAGAUAGAGAUGGACAAAUCAGAAAUGUAAAAAUAUUUUGAAAAAAAUUCUAUGAGGCAGCAAUGGACGAGACAGGCCAUUGAGUGCUGUCAUUGUCUUUAAAAAAUACUAUGUUCACUGCUUUCAAAGUAAGUGUCAUGAGGUUUAUUACUUAGUGGUUCUCUGGCUCCCCUAAGUUGACUGUAAAAUCUUUAUGAGGCACUUGGUAAGCACAUAAGUAUUUGAAGUACCCAAGGGAUAAAAGAGCUCGGUAGUGAAAUGGUGAGUGAAGGCUGGAAUUGCCCUAAAGUCUGGGUAGGAAGGGGGCCUCCAGCUGAGUAUGCCAAGCAAGUAACAUGAAUUAUCUCUCAAAUCUUCUAGAAAGCCCUAUGAGGGGGCAGUAUCAUAAUACCCUUUUCACAGAGAAAGAAAUGGAAAGGUUAAGAAACUUGCUCAAGGCCAGGCACGGUGGUUCACACCUGCAAUCCCAGUGCUUUGGGAGGCUGAGGCCAGAGGAUCACUCGAGGACAGGAGUUUGAGACCAGCCUGGGCAACAUAGUGAGACUCAGUUUCUACAAAAACAAAAAAACCAAAAAAUUAAAAAAUAAAAACUUGCUGAAGUGGUGGAAACAGUGAUUCAGGGAUCUUUGUCUUAAAUACUUUGUAAUGUGUUAUUUAUUAUGCUUCUUGUUAAUUUCUACAUGGGAAAUUAUAUAUAUGUUUAUGUUUUUAAAUAUAUAUUAUAUAUACUUAUAUAUUAAAUACGUAUUUCUACAUAUGUUUCCCAUAUAUGUGCUAUGUAAUAUAUAUGGUAAGAAAGCUCAACAUGGGUAAGGAUCUUUGUGAGUUUUGUUAACUGUUGUAUCCAAAGUGCCUGGGACAGGACCCUUGACAACAAUUUGUGGAAUAACUGAGUGUUGGAGUCCAUUGGCCUUCGACCACUCUUUUUUACAGCCCCUCUGGCAUACAUGAAGGGUGAAUCUGAGUUUUAUAUCCCACAGCCUUACACAAAUAAAUGUCAUGAUUGCGUUUUCUCUUGUUGUUCUGCAGUGGUAUUUACCUGGACAGUUUAAUGAUGUCUCUGACCUCUUCAUUUUAAGAAACCUUUCAAGAACUUUUUACUUCAUUCAACAGUUGUCUAUUCAUGCCAUAGGUAUUUAUAAUGAACUGUGAUAUCUAUAUUGUGGAGAAACGGGGUGCUCAGAAAGCUUUUCUUUUUCUUUUUCUUUUCUUUUCUUUUUUUUUUUUAUUCUGAGAUGGAGUCUCACUCUGUCACCUAGGCUGGAGUGCAG